rnacentral:misc_RNA from 1 species
UUUCCGUAGGUGAACCUGCGGAAGGAUCAUUAAUGUGUUUGGGCCUCACGGCUCUUCAUUCCGACGCUGUGCGCCUUCGGGCUGCACGCUGAGGGAGCAUAUAUCCACCCCUGUGCACACACACGGUGGCGAGCUGGGUAACGGCUCGCCGCUGAUCUUUACACACGUCUAAAAGUCAUUGUAUGUUUAUUUGAGAUAAAAACACAACUUUCAGCAACGGAUCUCUUGGCUCUCGCAUUGAUGAAGAACGCAGC